ACGUAGGGGGCAAGCGUUGUCCGGAAUGAUUGGGCGUAAAGCGCGCGUAGGCGGCCUGGUAAGUCUGGAGUGAAAGCCCAGGUCUUAAGGGGGGAAUUGCUUUGGAUACUGUCGGGCUUGAGUGCAGGAGAGGUAAGUGGAAUUCCAGGUGUAGCGGUUAAAUGCGUAGAGAUCGGGAGGAACACCAGUGGCGAAGGCGACUUACUGGACUGUAACUGACGCUGAGGCGCGAAAGUGUGGGGAGCAAACAG
rnacentral:rRNA from 1 species